GUCUAUUUGGAGUUAUAAAAAGUCUAACCUGCCCCCUGAAAAUUUAAGGGCCGCAGUAUUAUGACUGUGCAAAGGUAGCAAAAUCAUUAGGUUUUUAAAUGGAAUCUUGUAUGAAGGGUUGGACAAAGGGAAAGCUGUCUUUAUUUUAAAAUUUGAAUUUUACUUUUAAGUGAGAAGGCUUAAAUAUUUUAGAGGGACGAUAAGACCCUAUAAAGCUUUACAUUGUAAUAUAUAUUUGAUUAAAUUUAAAAAUAAAAAUUUAAUAUAGUUAUUUGUUUUAUUGGGGRGAUAGAAGUAUAAAUAAUAUUAGCUGUUUUUGRUUAAAAACGUUUAUUUAUGGAU
rnacentral:rRNA from 1 species